GAUGGGAGUCAUAUCCCCAUCAUUGCUCCAGAGGAGAACCAUGCAGACUAUUUUAACCGCAAAGGUUGGCACUCGGUGGUCCUGCAGGCUGUCGUGGACCAUCGGUUUUGUUUCACAAACAUUUAUGCUGGAUGGCCAGGAAGCGUCCAUGAUGCCAGGGUUCUCAGGAAUUCUCACGUCUACACAUUGGCAGAGAGAGGAGAACUUUUUCCACCGGAUACUGAAGAGAUAAUGGGUGUUCCGGUGCCAAUCAUGCUUCUUGGUGAUCCUGCUUAUCCCCUCCGAAGCUGGCUGUUAAAAGGAUGUUCAGAGACAGGAACACUGACAGCUGAACAGAGGUACUUCAAUGAGCGCCACAGCAGAGCCAGGAUGACUGUGGAGUGUGCAUUUGGCCGGCUUAAGGGCCGGUGGCGGUGUCUUGGUAAACGCCUAGAUGUGAACAUUGCCAUCGUCCCCACCAUCAUAAAUGCAUGUUGCACACUCCACAAUGUGUGUGAAAUGCAUGGUGAGGUCUAUGAAGAAGCAGGUGGAGCUGUUCCUGGUGUUGAGAGAAUGACUGAAGGAGGGGCCGUGGCAGAUGUGCAGCCGACAAGAGUCAGAGAAGCACUUACUC